AGAGUUUGAUCAUGGCUCAGAACGAACGCUGGCGGCGUGGAUAAGACAUGCAAGUCGAGCGAGAUUUUUUCCUGUAGCAAUACAGGGAAAAGUCUAGCGGCGAACGGGUGCUUAACACGUGGGCAAUCUGUCUUAAAGUGGGGGGAUAGCUCGGCGAAAGCCGAAUUAAUACCGCAUGUGAUUAGAGUGGACAUCCAUUCAAAAUUAAAGUCGGGGCAACCUGACGCUUUUUGAGGAGCCCGCGGCCUAUCAGCUAGUUGGUGAGGUAACGGCUCACCAAGGCUUUGACGGGUAGCUGGUCUGAGAGGACGACCAGCCACACUGGGACUGAGACACGGCCCAGACACCUACGGGUGGCAGCAGUCGAGAAUUUUUCUCAAUGGGGGAAACCCUGAAGGAGCGACGCCGCGUGGAGGAUGAAGGUCUUCGGAUUGUAAACUCCUGUCAUUUGGGAACAAGGUGUGCGCGUUAACUGCGCGCGCAUUGAUAGUACCAGAAGAGGAAGAGACGGCUAACUCUGUGCCAGCAGCCGCGGUAAUACAGAGGUCUCAAGCGUUGUUCGGAUUCAUUGGGCGUAAAGGGUGCGUAGGCGGCGCGGUAAGUCGGGUGUGAAAUCUCGGAGCUUAACUCCGAAACUGCAUUCGAUACUGCCGUGCUCGAGGACUGGAGAGGAGACUGGAAUUUACGGUGUAGCGGUGAAAUGCGUAGAUAUCGUAAGGAAGACCAGUGGCGAAGGCGGGUCUCUGGACAGUUCCUGACGCUGAGGCACGAAGGCCAGGGGAGCAAACGGGAUUAGAUACCCCAGUAGUCC
rnacentral:rRNA from 1 species